rnacentral:rRNA from 1 species
UACGUAGGGGGCUAGCGUUGUCCGGAAUCAUUGGGCGUAAAGAGCGUGUAGGCUGCUCGGUAAGUCCGCUGUAAAAGUCAAAGGCUCAACCUUUGAAUGUCAGUGGAUACUGCCGGGCUAGAGUCCGGAAGAGGCGAGUGGAACUCCUGGUGUAGCGGUGAAAUGCGCAGAUAUCGGGAGGAACACCGGUGGCGAAGGCGGGUCUCUGGGCAGUAACUGACGCUGGGGAGCGAAAGCGUGGGGAGCGAACAGG